AUUGAACGCUGGCGGCAGGCUUAACACAUGCAAGUCGAGCGGGGUGAUGGUGCUUGCACUAUCACUUAGCGGCGGACGGGUGAGUAAUGCUUAGGAAUCUGCCUAUUAGUGGGGGACAACAUCUCGAAAGGGAUGCUAAUACCGCAUACGUCCUACGGGAGAAAGCAGGGGAUCACUUGUGACCUUGCGCUAAUAGAUGAGCCUAAGUCGGAUUAGCUAGUUGGUGGGGUAAAGGCCUACCAAGGCGACGAUCUGUAGCGGGUCUGAGAGGAUGAUCCGCCACACGGGGACUGAGACACGGCCCAGACUCCUACGGGAGGCAGCAGUGGGGAAUAUUGGACAAUGGGGGGAACCCGGAUCCAGCCAUGCCGCGUGUGUGAAGAAGGCCUUAUGGUUGUAAAGCACUUUAAGCGAGGAGGAGGCUCUUUUGGUUAAUACCCAGAAUGAGUGGACGUUACUCGCAGAAUAAGCACCGGCUAACUCUGUGCCAGCAGCCGCCGUAAAAC
rnacentral:rRNA from 1 species